rnacentral:rRNA from 1 species
CGGACCGGCGCGACGGUGAGUAACGCGUAUGCAACUUACCUAUCAGGAGGGGAUAACCGGACGAAAGUCGGACUAAUACCGCAUGAAGCAGGGGCCCCGCAUGGGGAUAUUUGCUAAAGAUUCAUCGCUGAUAGAUAGGCAUGCGUUCCAUUAGGCAGUUGGCGGGGUAACGGCCCACCAAACCGACGAUGGAUAGGGGUUCUGAGAGGAAGGUCCCCCACAUUGGUACUGAGACACGGACCAA